ACGAGUACAACUACAUGAGCGAACGAAAUUUUGAGCGGCUUUUCGAAGUGAGGAGGAACUGAAAGCACUGUAAAGCUGCACAGGAGCAGCAAAACUGAGUAUUUGGGGAUGGCUGAAAAAGGAUUUAUGUGGAACUAUGCAGUGCAAGCAGCAUAACAAUCUUUAACAUUGUUUCUGGGGCUGUGGAUGGACUUUUGACACAGGUCCCCGGUAAUUUUCCACCCUCCAAACAUCUGAACACACUGACAGUAUCUGGAGAAGACAACAGCCAGAGCACUGAGAUCAUCCUACAUAAUUACUUCAUUUAUCUGUUGACUUUUAUUACUGGUCUUCAGUAGGGCCUGAUUAUGGAUUUGUAUGUUGAAGUAUUCUUUAAUACAAGCUAAGUGUAAAAUUGUUAUUUAUGUUGUGGUUACUUUGUCACUUGUUAUGGCUUUGAGACAGUACUGUAAGCGGAACAUCUUUUCCGCAAUGCAGUUUCAAUAUUGAACCUGGUCCACUCGUGGAGCUGAAUGUAAUUUUUUGGGAAAGAGGUCUAAAUGUAAUCUGGGAUAAUUGAUACCAGAGCACAAAACAUACAAAACCACAAGAACAUGUUGUGUGUUUUUUUUUCUUCUCCCAACACAGAGCAUUAAAAUAUUAAUAAAAGGAGAAGCUUGUCUCAAUUUCUUAUUCUGUAAUAAUUAAGAUAUGAUUCAUGGGUAGAGGUGAUUAAGCCAUUUGGAUCUAGUGACCAUAAUAUAAUACAUUUCACAGUAUUUUAGCUAGAAUGUGAUAAAUGCCAAAAGGUUUGAAAACCUUUGACAGCUCCACAGCCAUUACAACCAUUAAAGGUU